rnacentral:rRNA from 1 species
GAUGAACGCUGGCGGCGUGCCUAAUACAUGCAAGUCGAGCGAACAGACGAGGAGCUUGCUCCUCUGACGUUAGCGGCGGACGGGUGAGUAACACGUGGAUAACCUACCUAUAAGACUGGGAUAACUUCGGGAAACCGGAGCUAAUACCGGAUAAUAUAUUGAACCGCACGGUUCAAUAGUGAAAGACGGUUUUGCUGUCACUUAUAGAUGGAUCCGCGCCGCAUUAGCUAGUUGGUAAGGUAACGGCUUACCAAGGCAACGAUGCGUAGCCGACCUGAGAGGGUGAUCGGCCACACUGGAACUGAGACACGGUCCAGACUCCUACGGGAGGCAGCAGUAGGGAAUCUUCCGCAAUGGGCGAAAGCCUGAUGGAGCAACGCCGCGUGAGUGAUGAAGGUCUUCGGAUCGUAAAACUCUGUUAUUAGGGAAGAACAAAUGUGUAAGUAACUAUGCACGUCUUGACGGUACCUAAUCAGAAAGCCACGGCUAACUACGUG